UACGUAGGGGGCAAGCGUUGUCCGGAAUCAUUGGGCGUAAAGAGCGUGUAGGCGGCCCGAUAAGUCCGCUCUGAAAGUCCAGGGCUCAACCCUGGAAAGCGGGUGGAUACUGCCGGGCUAGAAUCCGGAAGAGGCGAGUGGAAUUCCUGGUGUAGCGGCGGAAUGCGCAGAUAUCAGGAGGAACACCAAUAGCGAAGGCAGCUCGCUGGGACGGUAUUGACGCUAAGGCGCGAAAGCGUGGGGAGCAAACAGG
rnacentral:rRNA from 1 species